rnacentral:rRNA from 1 species
AGUGAACGCUGGCGGCGUGCCUAAUACAUGCAAGUCGAACGGAGAUUAAGUAGCUUGCUAUUUAAUCUUAGUGGCGCACGGGUGAGUAAUAUAUAGCUAACUUGCCCAUUACUAAGGGACAACAGUUGGAAACGACUGCUAAUACCUUAUACUCCGUAUCUAUAUAAGUAGAUACGGGAAAGUUUUUCGGUAAUGGAUAGGGCUAUAUCGUAUCAGCUAGUUGGUAAGGUAAUGGCUUACCAAGGCUAUGACGCGUAACUGGUCUGAGAGGAUGAUCAGUCACACUGGAACUGAGACACGGUCCAGACUCCUACGGGAGGCAGCAGUAGGGAAUAUUGCUCAAUGGGGGAAACCCUGAAGCAGCAACGCCGCGUGGAGGAUGACACUUUUCGGAGCGUAAACUCCUUUUCUGGGGAAAGAAUUAUGACGGUACCCAAGGAAUAAGCACCGGCUAACUCCGU